rnacentral:lncRNA from 1 species
CAUGAGUAGCUUCUUUUAGAUGUUAUGACUUAUACACGUGAUGGUAAUUGAAUUUCAGUAAGUUCAGGGUUGAUUGGGGAAGAGAAUUCUCAUUUCGGAAGCUUUAAGUUGAAAGAAGUAACUAAGAUUGGAUUUUAGAGUAAACAACGUUAGAAUCAGGAUCUAAAGGUUCUAGCAGGUUUGUAUGAUGAUUUGGGACUUGGUCGUAUGCCUGUAUCGAGUUUUGGAUAACCCGGGAGCGUUUUUAAGUUAGCAUUUUGGAAGGGAUUUCAUAAGUUUUUCUUGAGGUGCAUUUUACUAUUAUCGAUAUCCGUUUGGGAUUUCGAGUCUGAGAGUAGCUCCAUAUGGGGAUUCUGGAGUUGGGAGCGCAAUCGGAAGUAAAUUCGGAAAUCUGUAGGUUAUUUUGGAGCCAUUUGGCUAAAGAUAGAAAAUUGAAGGUUUUUGGAGAAGUUUGACCGGAAAUGGAAUUUUUGAUAUCAGGGUCGGAUUCUGAUUCCAGAAAGUUAGAGUAGGUUCGUAAUGUCAAAUAUGACUUGUGUGCAAAAUUUGAAGUCAAUCGGAUAUGAUUUGACAUGUUUCGGCAUCGAAGUAGAAGUUUGAAGUUAUAAAGUUCUUAAAGCUUGAAUUGGAGAUUGAUUCAUGAUUUUAGCAUUGUUUGGUGUGAUUUGAAUCCAUGAGCAGGUCCGUGUUAUAUUAUGGAGUGGGUUGGUGUGAUACAGGGUCCCGGGGGCCUCGGGUAUAUUUCGGGUUGUAUUGUGCUCUUAUUUGAUGUUUCAAUAUCGUUUUCUUUGGGAAUAAAGGGGUACCACAUUAAGUAAAUGAGAUAGUAAUUCAGUUUUUGUUGAACCAUUGGAUUCUUAUCGUAAUUAGGGAGCCAUAGCAAAAAGAAUCAUCGAAUUUGGACAUCGUAUGAGGAAGUUAUGCUCAUUUUCGUGUCCGAAAAAACUGUUACUUCGGGUAUGGUCACAAUUGCGAACAUAUCCAUCGCAAUUGCGACGUCCAGUUCGCAAUUGCGAACAUUUUGUCGUAAAUAUGACCUUUUUCAGCCCUUCUUUGUUUGCAAUUGUGAAAGCUUUCUUUGCUUUUGUUGCAAAUCCCGGAUCGCAAAUGAGACAUAUGAGCUUGAUAUUAGCCGUGUAACUCGAGUUUUUGCUUCAUUUUAUCAUAUUUUGUACCCUAGGUCCGAGAAUGGGCGAUUUUGAGAGUGGAUUUUCAUAUCAAAUCAUUGGGAA